UCAAACUUGGUCAUUUAGAGGAAGUAAAAGUCGUAACAAGGUUUCCGUAGGUGAACCUGCGGAAGGAUCAUUAAUGAAUUACAAGUCGGUCGUCUGUGCUGGUGGCAACACAUGUGCACGGCAGCCGCAAAUCCACACACCUGUGCACUUUUGACUUUGGGAUCCACUGGUCUUUGACUUGUAGCAGGUUGGCUUGUGCCAUCCUGGAUCUCAGAGUACUUUUACAUACUCUUGAAUGUAAUGGAAUGUCUCUGUGCUUAAUGCGCAAAUAUACAACUUUCAACAACGGAUCUCUUGGCUCUCGCAUCGAUGAAGAACGCAGC
rnacentral:misc_RNA from 1 species